rnacentral:rRNA from 1 species
GACGAACGCUGGCGGCGUGCUUAACACAUGCAAGUCGAACGGAAAGGCCCUGCUUUUGUGGGGUGCUCGAGUGGCGAACGGGUGAGUAACACGUGAGUAACCUGCCCUUGACUUUGGGAUAACUUCAGGAAACUGGGGCUAAUACUGGAUAGGAGCUCCUGCUGCAUGGUGGGGCUUGGAACGUUUCGGCGGUUGGGGAUGGACUCGCGGCUUAUCAGCUUGUUGGUGGGGUAGUGGCUUACCAAGGCUUUGACGGGUAGCCGGCCUGAGAGGGUGACCGGCCACAUUGGGACUGAGAUACGGCCCAGACUCCUACGGGAGGCAGCAGUGGGGAAUAUUGCACAAUGGGCGGAAGCCUGAUGCAGCAACGCCGCGUGCGGGAUGACGGCCUUCGGGUUGUAAACCGCUUUCGCCUGUGACGAAGCGUGAGUGACGGUAAUGGGUAAAGAAGCACCGGCUAACUACGUG